UACAGAGGUCUCAAGCGUUGUUCGGAUUCAUUGGGCGUAAAGGGUGCGUAGGCGGCGCGGUAAGUCGGGUGUGAAAUCUCGGGGCUUAACUCCGAAACUGCAUUCGAUACUGCCGUGCUUGAGGACUGGAGAGGAGACUGGAAUUUACGGUGUAGCGGUGAAAUGCGUAGAUAUCGUAAGGAAGACCAGUGGCGAAGGCGGAUCUCUGGACAGCUCCUGACGCUGAGGCGCGAAGGCUAGGGGAGCAAACGGG
rnacentral:rRNA from 1 species